AAGGAGAUAAGCUCCAAAGCUUCCACAACUUUUCAUUGCCAAGCUUCAAUUUCCUCAAAACAGCUUAAAGAUAGGGACUUCUAACUAGCUUGAAAGAAUCGCAUAAACUAAAUACCUUGUGAAGGUUAUAAAACAAAACAAAAAAGCUAUGAACUAGUGAAAAAUUAUAAUACCUAUGACCAUCAUGCUUCGUAGGGCACUCUCCAGUUACUCCAAAUGAGUAGUGCAAGAAGAAGUGUGUCAUCGUGACAGUGACACCAGAGUACUUCUGAACUUGGGGCGGAAAACUUCUCGAAUGGCAGGCAUGUCUCUACACUGAGCGAGCACGUGAGUAGUGGAUUCCGUCCAGAUUUCUCUCCUGGAUCUGCGAGUGGAGCCUCUUCUCUGCUAAGUCGCCGCGUGCCUUGAGCGCCACCAUGAAAAGUCUGAGCGUUUGGCUGCCGGUUUGCUCGUAGCGCUCAAGAGCAAAGGUUGUUCUCGGCAUAUCCCAGGAAAUGAUGUUUUGCUGCUCCAUACAAAGUCUCAGCGUUUGGAGGCAGGCCAGCUUCUCCUUGCAUCUGAUAGAAGACGUGCAUGUUCCAUGAUGAUCGUGUUCCAGGCAACCAACGUCAUGUUUAUUUGUCCUCCUCAACACUUCUGAUGCUUCCACAUGUCCAUGAGGCUGCUUGCGACGAAUGCAUCGGCUUUGUAUUCACAAUUUGCGAGGUAGCCCAACCUAUCCUGUUCUU
rnacentral:lncRNA from 1 species